rnacentral:misc_RNA from 1 species
GAAAUGCGAUAAGUAAUGUGAAUUGCAGAAUUCAGUGAAUCAUCGAAUCUUUGAACGCACAUUGCGCCCCUUGGUAUUCCGAGGGGCAUGCCUGUUCGAGCGUCAUUAUAACCCCUCAAGCGUAGCUUGGUGUUGGGGCCUGCUGUACUGGCAGCCCUUAAAAUCAGUGGCGGUGCCAUCAGGCUCUAAGCGUAGUAAUUCUUCUCGCUACAGAGUCCCGGUGAUGCUAGCCAUCAACCCCUAAUUUUCUAUGGUUGACCUCGGAUCAGGUAGGGAUACCCGCUGAACUUAA